GUGGGGAAUAUUGGACAAUGGGCGAAAGCCUGAUCCAGCAAUGCCGCGUGAGUGAUGAAGGCCCUAGGGUUGUAAAGCUCUUUUACCCGGGAUGAUAAUGACAGUACCGGGAGAAUAAGCUCCGGCUAACUUCGUGCCAGCAGCCGCGGUAAUACGAGGGGAGCUAGCGUUGUUCGGAAUUACUGGGCGUAAAGCGCGCGUAGGCGGUUUUUUAAGUCAGAGGUGAAAGCCCGGGGCUCAACCCCGGAAUAGCCUUUGAAACUGGAAAACUAGAAUCUUGGAGAGGUCAGUGGAAUUCCGAGUGUAGAGGUGAAAUUCGUAGAUAUUCGGAGGAACACCAGUGGCGAAGGCGGCUCACUGGCUCGAUACUGACGCUGAGGUGCGAAAGCGUGGGGAGCAAACAGGAUUAGAUACCCUUGUAGUCC
rnacentral:rRNA from 1 species